rnacentral:rRNA from 1 species
UACGUAGGGGGCAAGCGUUGUCCGGAAUCAUUGGGCGUAAAGAGCGCGUAGGCGGUCCGGUAAGUCGGCUGUGAAAGUCCCGGGCUCAACCCUGGGAUGCCGGUCGAUACUGCCGGACUAGAGUUCGGAAGAGGAGAGUGGAAUUCCCGGUGUAGCGGUGAAAUGCGCAGAUAUCGGGAGGAACACCGAUGGCGAAGGCAGCUCGCUGGGACGUUACUGACGCUGAGACGCGAAAGCGUGGGGAGCAAACAGG